AAGGAUUCGGUGAAUUUAGAAAUUGUGAACAAAGAAUAUAGGACACCAUUGCUUGAAGCUGUUUCGGACGGUCACCUCGGAAUAAUGCAGCGGCUGAUAGCCAGGGGCGCGAAUGUAAAUGUUGUCGAACAUGGAGGAAAUAAUUGCCUGCAUCUGGCGUUAAAAAGAGAAAACAACUUUCAUUCUGAGGUGGAGCACAUGACCAUGUUAGAUCAGGUAAGUUUUCACAUUGUUUGUGACUAUGUGUGUGUGUGUGUGUGUGUGUGUGUGUGUGCAUUUGUGCGUCUGUGUGUGUGUGUGUGUGUGUGUGUGUGUGUGUGUGCAUUUGUGCGUCUGUGUGUGUGUAAAAUAGACAAACUGACAGAGAAAGACAGACAGAAACAGACAUUGUUUAUAUCGCAAUUCUCACCUACCAACCCCAUCCUCCAUUACCAUUUCCUGAUCCAGUCACAAUGGUAACCCUUAGUUAUAUUAUUAUGUAACAAACACUAUUCUCUAUUCCGUCCCCUUCCGUCCUCAAAGGCACGACCUCUCCAUGGUAGAGAAGGUGAUCCAUCUCGAAUGUUGGCCAUACAAACACGGUCAUCAAAAUUUGAAGGAGAAAUGAUCUAUUCAAGACAGGAGAUAUUAUUCUGAAUUAACAAUGAUACUGGGUAGAAGAGAGGUUCAUAUGAUAGACAGUAACAUUUAUAGUGCUGGGGCCAUGAUAAUAAAUACAUCUUGUCCAUUCCAUGAAGAAUUCUGCCUGAAACAGCUCUCUGUCACAUUUCUUUUAUAUAAUACUAGCAGCAUAGCCCGGCAUUGCCCGGGUAUAAGAGCCCCUAGUAGGCAACGACUAAUCCCAAUCUAGUCCUUUCCCUCUAGGGAACGAAGGUGCGUGUGUAGGUUGCAAUAUCUUCUCUUCACUCGAAUACUUCUGUGUAUACGAUGUUCCUAGCUGUCCCUUUGGGCGAUAAAAAGGUCGAGUUGCGUCCUCUAGACAGAAGAUGUGUUGCAUAUAAAAAGUUUAGAUUCUCGACUCCAUGUCGAAUUUAUCGAUUUUUUUUUCAGAACUGGGGGAACUUUUCAAAAUUUUCGCUGCGUUAGUUUUGAAUUAUGACAUUGGGCUAUUCCCAUAUGAAUAAAGCUCACUACAGAUGACUGACUACUAUUCAGGCAGUUGAUGGUCAUCUGUGUAUUGUUGUAAUGUCUACUUUGGUGAGAGGAACCUACUCUGACAGCCAGCGACCUCCCCACCUACUGGAAUAGUCCAUCAGACUAACACUGAACAAAUUAUCAACUAUGCGUUGGUGUUCUGCCUCAACUGUGACACCGAUUCUUACUUCCCUUACUUCACUUUCUUCAUCAAAAGAUGUUUCCUUAUUAAUUCAUCAUCAUCAUCAUCAUGAUAAUGUAUCGACUGUUUUCAAAGCUGGCAUGGGUUCGACGCUUUGACAGAAGCUGGUCAGCUGAAAAGCUACCUGGGCUCCAUAUCUCUUUUCGCAUUGUUUCGAUAGUUGGACGUCCUUCCUAAUGCCACCCAAUUUACAUAAUGUACUGCGUGCUUUUCUGCAGCACCGACACGGAUAUUUGUAUGUGACACCAGCAUGGGUGAUUUUUCCGAAGCAUCAGCACCCAUGAUCCCACAAGAUUAGGAUAUCUCAGACGAAGAAUGAUACAGGGGUCAUGACAGUAUGCAAGGACAACGACGACUUAGCUUGGCAUAUCAUCUCAAGUACAGCAGACUGCCAAAAGUAUCGCUCCCAUUUCAUCCCCUCUGUGAGGCCCAACGUCUGACGGUCCUUUCUCACCACAUUAUUGCACGUCUUUCUGGGUCUACCCCUCCACACAUUCCCUCCACAAUGAGAGAUCACCACUUCUUGAUGAAGCUAUCUUCAUCCAUAUGCAUCACAUAACCAUACCAUGGUAGACUUCUCUUGCGCACAAAAUCCGAUGCCUUAUAUACCCUGUUUUUCUCUCCAAUCCACUUAAUUAUAGAAACAUUAUUGAUCUGCGUGGAUAUGUCUAUGUGGUGUUGAUUUAGUUGUUAUGUCUGAAGGCCUUGCUAUGUUGUUGCUGUUCUCUUUUCUGGUAUAACUUAUAUUAUUUGUGGUGUUAUUCAUAUCUAUAAGACAGUCCUUUGACGAAAAUUUUAUGCACAUUUUGCUUUGGAGGUUAAUGGCAGCCAAACCGAGGCAAGGAUACUAAAUGCGUGGUGAGAAUGAGACCCGCGAUGGUUAAAAUUCGCAAGCUAUAAGAUGUGGUUGCUAUGGCAAAAAGAGUGAUUUUUUGAUCCCUCUAUAACGAUGUCUCUCUGUCACUCUUUCUUGCACCACCUCUCUCACUGUACAUCUGUCUGUAUCUAUAGACAGAAAGCGAUGACAACCGCAAAAGUUUAAAUAUUCUCGCCACAGGUCUUUUAGAACGGUGAAUUAAUAUCGCCCACCUCUAUCGCACAGUCAUAACAGAUAUUAUUAAACAGAUAUAUUGUGUUAAUUUAUAUAUAUACUGUGUGCAUAUGUGGUUGGAUUUGGCUAAAAAUAUGCACACCUAUGUUAAAAGUGCUAGCGAGUUUGUAUUGGAACUUCGAAUUUGCUCAAUUGAAAGGCAUGGACUCUAGGGCAAAAUUCCUCAUCUUUUAAAAUGUGGCCCGCUUAGACCCGAAUGAAAUCGGGUUAUAAUACCAAAACGAGUAAAACAAUAAUAAACUAUUUUAAUCCCGAACAAGGCCGGGUAUGUAUUUCUAAUCUAUCAAAUGAAGAAGGCGAACGAUGAUACAAAUUGGAUUUUUAUGUAAAAAUAUGUGUAAUUGGGCCUGGAAUGGGAUUACAAUUUAAAAGAGGGGGUAACUUGCGGUGAGAAAUUGUUUGAGAGACUUUUGGGGCGCUACUGUGGUCGUUUUGGUGUGAAAAUAGGGAUUUUAUUGAUUUUGGGGGACAAUUGGGGGUUUAGAUUGGACACCUUUUGCCCGAUUUCAAUCAAAUUUUCAACAUGGUAAAGUAGAAGAUUUGUAAUUUAAGCACGGAAAUCUAAUUUUUUAUAAAUGGGAGAUAGAUAGAUAGAGAAAGAUAAAAAGCAAGAGAAAGUGAGGGAGAGUCCGAGAUAAAGGAAGAGUAAGAGAGUGGGGAUGCGAGAGAGAAAGGAGAGAGGAACAAAGAGGGUGAAUAUGGCGAUAAGAAACAAAGGAAGCAACAGAAAGUAACAAUCACACCCUCACCCACGCGUAGAGCGGGUCACCUUAAGCUAGUACUUAUAUGUACAAUACUCUUCCGUAAGUAUUUCUCUUGUUAUGGCCAUUUGGCUUUAUCAAGCCAGUUGUAGAGAUAGGUUCUUGUUGGUUUGUUGUCUUUCAUUAUUGUGACAUUUCUGUCCUUAUAUUUGUAUAUUUGACUUGAUGUUAUAAUAACUUUAUAUUGUGUUUUUAUUGAAUAGUUUGUGACAUUUGUGAUUGGCAAGUAAAUAUUUACUCAUUAAAUAUCAUUGUUAAGCAAUAACGUUGACCACUAAUGUGCGUUUUGUUCAAUAUAAUGAUCAUAAUUUUUGUCUUAAUGUAGAACGUAAAGUAAAACAAAUGAUAAUGAAAAGUGGACUCAACUAAGAGAUGAUGUAAGAAAUCAACGCUGUGUGAAUAGUUUAAUCACUGGGGAAACAAACUAUGUGUAAAUGUAGUUGAACUGUUGUGUAAUUUGGGGCAUCUUUAGUAUAUGUUUGUGUAAUCUUUAACUCAUCAUUUUAUAUUUCAUCAUUUGUAGUUCUGCGUAGAGCUGAAACUGGGAAACGAAGAAAGGUGCUCUGGUGUGGUAGUUGCCAGCUACCUAGCCCACCACGGGGCCAACUUUUACUGUAAAAACAAAAGUGGCAGAACACCAUUGGACCUAAUAAAAAAG
rnacentral:lncRNA from 1 species